AGCAGCGGGCUGAGGGCUGCAUAACUGAUGGAAGGCCGGGCGCGGUAAGAGCGUCUCGGGGAGUAGGGCAAGGCGGCCGGGCCCCUCCCAUUCCGCCUUUUCUUCAGCGUCCUGCCCGCGGCACUGGCUGCGGGUGCCGGGCCACCUGCGAGUGUGCGGAGGGAUUCCGGACACCCGCGGCGGCGAGCUGAGGGAGCAGUCUCCACGAGAACUGAGGCGGACCCUCUGGCGCCAUGCGCGCCCUCCCCGGCCUGCUGGGGGCGAGGGCGCCUACGCCCCGGCUGCUUCUCCUCCUCCAGUGCCUUCUCGCCGCCGCGCGCCCAAGCUCGGCGGACGGCAGUGCCCCAGAACAUUCUAGUAUGCCAGUAGAAAAAAACAUCACUUUAGAAAGGCCUUCUGAUGUAAAUCUCACAUGCCAGUUCACAACAUCCGGGGAUUUGAAUGCAGUAAAUGUGACUUGGAAAAAAGAUAGUGAACAACUUGAGAAUAAUUAUCUUGUCAGUGCAACAGGAAGCACCUUAUAUACCCAAUACAGGUUCACCAUCAUUAACAGCAAACAAAUGGGAAGUUAUUCUUGUUUCUUCUGAGAGGAAAAAGAACGAAGGGGAACAUUUAAUUUCAAAGUCCCUGAACUUCAUGGGAAAAACAAGCCAUUGAUCUCUUACGUAGGGGAUUCUACUGUCUUGACAUGUAAAUGUCAAAAUUGUUUUCCUUUAAAUUGGACCUGGUACAGUAGUAAUGGGAGUGUAAAGGUUCCUGUUGGUGUUCAAAUGAAUAAAUAUGUGAUCAAUGGAACAUAUGCUAAUGAAACAAAGCUGAAGAUAACACAACUUUUGGAGGAAGAUGGGGGAUUUUACUGGUGCCAUGCACUAUUCCAAUUAGACGAGAGUGAAGAACACAUUGAGCUUGUGGUGCUGAGCUAUUUGGUGCCCCUCAAACCAUUUCUUGCAAUAGUGGCUGAGGUGAUUCUUUUAGUGGCCACCAUUCUGCUUUGUGAAAAGUACACACAAAAGAAAAAGAAGCACUCAGAUGAGGGGAAAGAAUUUGAGCAGAUUGAACAGCUGAAAUCAGAUGAUAGCAAUGGUAUAGAAAAUAAUGUCCCCAGGCAUAGAAAAAAUGAGUCUCUGGGCCAGUGAAUACAAAACAUCAUGUCGAGAAUCAUUGGAAGAUAUACAGAGUUCGUAUUUCAGCUUUGUUUAUCCUUCCUAUUAAGAGCCUCUGAGUUUUUAGUUUUAAAAGGAUGAAAAGCUUAUGCAACAUGCUCAGCAGGAGCUUCAUCAAUGAUAUAUGCUAUCUCAGAUCUAAAGGUAUAUUUUCAUUCUAUAAUUAUGUUACAUAAAAGCAAUGUAAAUCAGAAUAAAUAUGUUAGACCAGAAUAAAAUUAAUUAUAUUCUGGUCUCCAAAGGACACACAGAACAGAUAUCAGCAGAAUCACUUAAUAUUUCAUAGAACAAAAAUCACUCAAAACCUGUCUAUAACCAAAGAAUUCAUGAAAAAGCCUUUGUCAUUUGUCUUAGAAAGUUAUUUUUUAAAAAAAUCAUGCUUACUAUUAGUAUCUAUGGAAGUAUAUGUAACAAUUUUUAUGUAAAGGUCAUCUUUCUGUGAUAGUGAAAAAAUAUGUCUUUACUAAGUUGAAAUGAAUACUUUCUGCCUUUGCUAAUGAUAGUUAUUCUAUAAUCUCCACAAGAAAAACAUACCUUUUAUCCAGAAAUAUUGGUUUAAGGCAAAUAAAUAAAACUGUGCUUGCUCUAAAGCUCUGCACUACAAAAGCAAAUUUUCCAGUCUUUAUUCCACUCAUAACCACUGCUUUCCCCACCAGGCUAAAGUGCUUCUUAGUCUUUAGGUAGGGUUUUGAACUUCAUAAGGUACACCGUUGUUCAUGUUUUAGGGUGCAGGUCUGUAUAGUUGUAAUACUUAAAAUACUGCUAUACUGAUGCUUUUGUGGCUCAUGGUUUCCUGCUGUCUUUGAUUUAACACCUGGCUUCCUGGUAUCUAUGACUGGUUAAAUAUCUAAACCUGCAUUAUUAGUGCUUUACAAUAAUAAUUCCCUUGACUGAAGUCCAGAAGUACUAAAGUACUUCUUUUUUAUUGCUGUGAAUGCCUUAGACUUACCUUCAAAAGUAGGAUACUUCAUUUCUAUUGCAUAUAUAACUGAAAUAUUUUAUAAACUCACUGUAAUCAAAUCUUAUAAAAUCUGAAUCGACACGAAAAGUUGUCAGUGCUUGAAUGAAAUACUAAAAUCAUGCCACAGGAUACUAGAUAAUGUAAAUGACCAUGAUGUGUCCUUGGAGCUGAUGGGUGUAGUGUCCCACUGCUCACAGGGCAACAACUUUAAUAACAGAAGCAAAAAGUGGUGGUGUGGAACCCAAGAUUCUUGGCGACUAGGGGAUUUAAAGGUUGGGGAGGAGGAAUUCAAUGAUUUGAAAAGAAAUACUUUAUAAAAAUUUGCUCCAUGUAUUGGCUAAGAAAAAUAUAAUAAAAUUUGGUAGUGAAAAUUAUAUCGCUAAUGUUUACCAGUAUUACUAGUAUGAAUAAUACACAUAAGGUAGUGACUUGGAAGCUGCUCAAUACUUCGUUGCUAUAACAAAAUGCAAUAUUUUGUUGUAAAGCAUCUUAACUACACAUAUAAGUUUGCUGAACUUGAAUACAUCCCAGUAAUGGCAAACUUUAUUUUAUUCUUGGUUUUCAUUUUAUUCUGGUCUCAGGGCCAUACAUUUAUUUUAGUUUAAUUAAUUAUUAUUUUGACAACAUUACUCGGGUGAUAUCUAUAUAAUGGUAGAUAACCAAUCAGUUAGCUUAAUUAAUCUAAACUAUUUGAAUUCAGGGAAAUAUUAGUCAAAUCUGCUGUUUGACUAAAUACAAUUCAAAGCAAUAUAUUUGUGACUGGGAAUAUAGAACACAAGGAAACAAAUGCGUAGCCCAUCUGCAGUAUGCAUUCUUCCAUUUUACAACCACUAACCAUUGAGGCUGAUACAAUUUUCAAGCAAGAAGCAUUGCUUCCCAAAGGUAAAAUAAUCAGAAAUAUUUCUAUAGUAAAUUGAAUUUUUAAUUGGCAAUACUGCUUAUUUUUUUCUAGCAAAGACAAUUUAUUUCAGUAACCUUAAAUAGGAAAAGUACUCAAAAAUUAAAGUUGAUUUUUUGGCUUUUUGUAGUCUCUCUAGAGGUCUUCUAGAAAAUUACCACUGUUGGAUUUUAAUCUGCUUCCAUUAACCAAUCUUACAGAGAUGAUAAAUGGAUUAAUACUGACCAACUAUAAAUUGACUGCAAAUAAUAAGCCACAUAAAAGCUGAAGUAGGAAAACUACUCCAAGUUUAUAUAUUAGGCACCUUGGGGAAUUCUCUUAGUCUUUCCAGCUAACAAGGAUUUUCAGCAUAAUAAGUAGAUUUAAUGAUGGCAUAAAAUUCCCAGAUACUUUCAUAUACAUUUUUUGCCAAAGUGUAAAUCUUCUCCUUUUGCAGUCUUUUUAUUAUCCCAACAUCUAGCUGCUCAGGCCCCAAUCUAGAACUCAUUCUGAUAUUUUCUUCUUCUGUAUUAAUUAAUACUUAUGGGUCAUGAAUCCCUGCUCCUUUGACCUUUUUAAUAGCUCAUGAAUCCACCCCAUUGCCUCCCCAACUCUGCCCACACCAGCUGCAACAGCUAAUGCCUUGAUUUUCCUACCUCAGUCUCCUUUUCUAUUAAUCCCUCUUUUGCAUGGCUGCUUGAGUCCACUUUCUCAAACACAAACCUCACUAUGCAACUUUGGAAUCUCUGUAGGCUUACCUUUGCCAUUUCUUAAUAUUGCAUUCUCCAAAUUGCUAAUCUCUAUCCAGUCUCUUGAACUAGACUUGGUACAUGGAGAUUCCGCUCAGAAAGUGCUCUUCACACUUCUACCUGCUUGACUAACCCCAGAUUAUCUUUCAAGACUUUAAUCUGAUCUUGUGUCUUAGAGAAGCCCCCAUACCUAGUAGAGCAUGUACCAUCUUACAUGCUUAAGUAACUCCACAUUUAUUUGUGUUUAUUACUCUGUGUUAUAAAUAUACAUUUGUUGGUCUCUCUCUUGGAUUAUUUUCUUUCUUUGUCCUGUAACUACCACUGAAAGGGUGCAAUACAGAUGUCUUGAAAUGUGUGUUGAAUGGAUGAAUAUAUAAAUAAAAAUGAAAUUUUGUAAAUUUCUACUUAUUCUUAGAAAAACAAUCUAAAUUGUGACAAAUCAGAAUUGAAAAAAAUAUUCUAAUAAAGAAAAACAAGCUUUUAUA
ensembl:lncRNA EMBP1 embigin pseudogene 1